UUAAAAAUUGAUUUCUCAAUUUUGUUUAUUAUAAUUUACAAAUUUAUAAUUGGCCUUGGCCGGUGCCAUCUGCCGAGUCAGCACUCCAUUUCUCUAAAUUUCUACUCGUGCUUCUCUCACUUGUACUUUCUAGACAAUAGUGACUUCCAAUUGACUAUGUCCGAAAGUUACAACAUCAUCAUUAGUGAAGGAAAUUUAUUUUAGAAGAUCAAUUAAUGAUAUGAAAUUAAAAAUGAAAAUCUUCACAUUUACCAUGCAUGGUUUAUAAAAAUUUUAUUCCAAAUUCUUAAUAACUUUUUUAGGCUAAUUUCUAAACUGGUCUUCAU
rnacentral:lncRNA from 1 species